AUCCUUCAGUUCAUGAGCGUGAUGAUUGGGUAUUCAUGUCUUAUAAUGCAUGAGCUGUGCCUCCCUCAAACCAUGUUACAACGUAGGCACAUUACUCAUCUGACG